CAUAACUUCACUAUGCAUUUCCUAGUAAUCGAACAGCCUGACCCUCGGUGGUCACACCUUGCUCUGUACAUGCGGCGAUAUUAAUUGUCCGACAUUACCAGUUGUCAUUUGACCCAAGCCGAGCUGUCCGGCGUUCGAAUAAGACAAUUUUCAAUUGCCCAACUGCAAUGGAGUAAAUUGAAUCAGCAGCACCCGGAGCAGCGAUCGAUCUAUCUAUUACGAUCCCAGCUCAGCCACAACCCAGGCACACUGAGCAAAAUCAUGAUCAGUAUGUGGUAGUAGUCUCUUUUUUUUUGCUGAUGCCAGUUUGUUAUUUAUGCCAAACUCAUUUCUGAUCGAGUUUUGAAUUGAUAACGUUUUUUUCCCUGUGCUUUUCAUAUCGAAACCGAAACCGAGGCGAGCAAUUGAAGGAGAAUGCUGCGUGUCGAUUGCAUGUUCCGCAAACUAAUCGAACGAAUCGAUCAAAUUCUCAGCGCCGCCGCAACACGCAACCGCCGAAGAUCAAUAUAUAUAUAUACAUAUAUACAGAUAAAUAUAUAUGUAUAGGGGGCUGGGCGAUCGCCUAGCGGUAACUGGCUGGAGUAACGCCCGCCGCUGGAAUUCAAUUAUGACGAUUGCUUUUAGCCACGAUCGCCGCAGCGAGCCAAUAAACAAAUGUACGGACAGCAAAAAGGGGGGUAAUCAAGGGGUAUGCGUUAGGCUUAUACUAACAUUCUGUCGAGUUUGAAGGACAUAAAAAAGGAACAACAAUUUGGAAAUCUAAUAGAAUAGUGAAGUAGCCCCCCUUUAAAGAAGUCGUACACUACUCCCCUGCUGUUUCAUUGGCGCCCGUUGGCCAUGUGUUUUGGCCACCACCCGCACCCAAGUGCCAAAAAAAUAGAAAAAAAACGAGCAAAAAUGAAGAAAAAGACAAAAUGACUUCGGUGGCCGAGUGGCAACAAUAAAACUUAUUUAUGUCUCUGGUCAAA